rnacentral:rRNA from 1 species
AUUGAACGCUGGCGGCAGGCUUAACACAUGCAAGUCGAGCGAGCGGCGGGCGGGUGAGUAAUGUCUGGGCAACUGCCUGAUAGAGGGGGAUAACUACUGGAAACGGUAGCUAAUCCCGCAUACCAUCGAAUGUACCCAGAUGGGAUUAGCUAGUAGGUGGGGUAAUGGCUCACCUAGGCGACGAUCCCUAGCUGGUCUGAGAGGAUGACCAGCAACUGGGCAGCGGAGACACGGUGCAGAACUCGACCGGAGGCAGCAGUGGGGAUCAUUGGACAAGGGGCGGAAGCCUGAUGUAGUCAUGCCGCGUGUGUGAAGAAGGCCUUCGGGUUGUAAAGCAUUUUCAGCGAGGAGGCGGUACCUGCAGAAUAAGCACCGGCUAACUCCGUGCCAGCAGCCGCGGUAAUAC